rnacentral:rRNA from 1 species
GUGCCUAAUACAUGCAAGUAGAACGCUGAAGAGAAGAGCUUGCUCUUCUUGGAUGAGUUGCGAACGGGUGAGUAACGCGUAGGUAACCUGCCUGGUAGCGGGGGAUAACUAUUGGAAACGAUAGCUAAUACCGCAUAAAAUUGAUUAUUGCAUGAUAAUUAAUUGAAAGAUGCAAUUGCAUCACUACCAGAUGGACCUGCGUUGUAUUAGCUAGUUGGUGAGGUAACGGCUCACCAAGGCGACGAUACAUAGCCGACCUGAGAGGGUGAUCGGCCACACUGGGACUGAGACACGGCCCAGACUCCUACGGGAGGCAGCAGUAGGGAAUCUUCGGCAAUGGGGGGAACCCUGACCGAGCAACGCC